CCGGUUGUCUGCAACAGGAAUGCUCCCCUGCCACGACUUUCUCACAGGUCCUUCCUUUCGUAUCUUCAAGGUAUAUUGAUUCUUCAAGUUAGAUCGAGUCUGUUCCAUAUGCAUAUAUACAACCAGAAUCUAUUCACAACAAGCUGGGUUUGAAGUAUGCUUUUGUUCCAGUUGCCGAGUUGAAGUAUCACCCGGGUUUCUGUGACGAUCUUCUGAGGUGGAAAUGCUCUGUUUCUACAAACUGCAGGCGCAAUCUCGUAUUGUAUUGUUAGUGGUGAUUCAGGCUAAUUUUUCUCUUUAUGCCCUGAUAUUUCUUUUUAAGUUAGACAUUACAAUCUUAGAAGCCUUCCAUGACAAAGAUAGCCCUUUGUAAAUUUUGCUUCUACAAGUAUACUUUUGAUGGCCAUGCCCCCUGAUUGUCAGUAUAUAUUUGGCUUAUGUCAGUAUACUCUACAUAAUAUGUCUGGAUGGGUGUUCUUAUAUGAGAUAUUUGUGGUAAGUAGUUAAAUCACUCCUACGGAGUGUAUAUCUAUUUUAACCUAGUUUGAGGAAUGACCAACCGGAUGGCUUCUGCAACUUUUGGUUCAAUUCUUGGUUAUUUCAUCCUCACCACAUGAUGUUUGUUGUUUAUUCUUCUUACCCGCAUCGUACAUCUGGUUAAUGUUGCUAUAUUAGCCAAUCUAUUUUGGCAUAUGCAGUGCAUCUCUACCUAUGUUUACGUGUCAUCCUUGCCUUACUAAGUUACCAUGGAAACACUCAGGUGUUGUUUUCUCCCAUGUAUAUAUGUAUAUGUAGAUGCCCUCUACUUUGGCACCAUCAUCUGGGAGGGGUUUGUACUAACGAUGGCCCUAUAAAGCACACCGACUUUGUUUUUCUUGAUGCACAAGUGCUUUUCUGGCCUUUCCUCUUUAUCCUCCUUGGUGAGUCUUACUUUUGUCUCUUUAACUGGGCCUUUAAACAUGUGGUUACAAUCGUAUUCGUAUGUUUUGGUGGUUCGGAAUAGUAGUAUCUAGCACCGUGAUAAUCCUGCAUACUGAUUAUCCCUUUUUUGAUAAUUGUCUUUAGCUUUGUAUAUCAAACGAUUCAACAUUUUCGUUUGUAUUCUAGGCAAUUUACUAAUUAUAAAAACAAAUCUUACAAUUGCAGUCUUACAAACAGUUCAUGAGGCUUCCUGCAAUAUUUCUUUUUUGCACGUAUCUAUGAAACUAUAGUUGUUCCGCUGUUUUCCCCAUGUUAGGCCAAGCGGACCAAUGGCAAUCUUAACCUCAUAGGUUAGUCUUAUUCCUUAAUUUAUUUCUUCAUUUUUCUGAUUUAGAAGUCAUGCAUUCUUAAAGAUUGAAAUGCUGGUCCAGGGAAAACAUCUGGUUAGUCGACAUGAACCUCAUGUUUGAUUGAGUUUGAAAUCUAAUGGAACAAAAACUAGUGAUGUAUAUAGUUGAAUUAAAGUAUGGAGAACCCCAUUCAGUUUGAGGCAAUAAAUAAGGUCCCAUAUUUGAUAAAUUUGCUUGAUUUCUCAUGUUACUUACUGUAGCUCUUAAAUAAGAUCUUGAGAUGUAAUUUUAGAAAAUAGUUGGUACUCACAUGUUUGCUUUCCCUGCUACCGUCUUGCUUUCCCUGCUACUCACUUUCUUUCUUAAUAGUGUAAUUGUCUUUGCUUCAUCUGUAUAGAUGCUAGCUAUUUUAUUAUGAGUUGCUGCUACAAGAGAACUAAUGGUUGAUUGCUAUAUUCACCCUUCCUCACUUUCAUCUAUAUAUGUCGUUGCUUUUUCAUUCUUGCUGAGUGGGUCAAUUACAUUUGAUGAACAAGCUGCAUAUUCCUUUUUAUACCAUUGUGCUCUAUUUAGUUUUGCUUCCAUCAACCAAUAACUGAUUGGGUGGCAUGCCAUGAAAAUGGCGAAGAAAAGCAGUGUGUAAAAUAUUAGAAAGAAAAGCAAAAAGGUCCAUGGAAAAUAUUAAACUUCUCCCUGUUUUAUUUAUAUCGGCAAGAACUUGGGCAUGAUUCCUUCUUCCCCUGAAUACUAAGCUUAUUUAUUUUCUUGGUGUUAGAUUACUAAUGUGGAGAAAUAUAAUUCUUAUUGAUGGUUGCUCGAUGGCGUUGAGCAUCAUGUAAGGUCAUUAGAAGUCAUAGAUGGAUCAACAUAUUCUUCCGCUGCUAAUUAGCAUGUUUGGUCUAUUUUAUUUCAAACAUAUAUAUUAUUCACCAAGGCACCUGCCUACUUUCAUAAUGAUGUUAUAACGUUAGGCGUUAGGUCAUUAGAAGUCAUAGAUGAAUCAACAUAUUCUUCCGCUGCUAAUUAGCAUGUUUGGUCCAUUUAUUUCAAACAUAUCUAUGACUCACCAAGGCUCCUUCCUACUUUCAUGAUGAUGUUAUCCCAUAGUUACAUUGGUGUCUGAAAGUGAGCCUUCUCUUAACUCACUUUAUCUGCAGUAAAUGAAACCUAGAGGUGGAGGGGUUUGGAUGAUCUGUAGUCAAAGGAUACCAUCGAACAAGUGGAUGCGCAAUGGCGCAAGGAGGGUCUCCCCGGAGCAGAGGUAGAGGAUGUUACCAGUUGCAUCUCUGACCUAAAGCCCACCUUGGCAUGGAUGUGACCAGCGUUGAUCCCCAACAUUGGCAAGCACUGUAAGGUCCCUCUUCUUAUGUUUCUGGUGCACAUAUACCACAUAUGUUCAUAUGUACAGUGCUAAAAUGCUUUAUUAACCAAUUACUUCUGCAGCUUUUUCGUCAGGACUGUACUCAUUCAGGGGAAAGUUUAAUUAGGACUUCGAAACCUCUUUUGUAUCCUUAGACCCAGGUAGAUUGUAGAGAAAAAGAGAAAUUUAAAUAAAUUGCCCCUUGCACACUAAUUCUUAGAUCCAGGUUGAUUGUUAUCUCUUCAUUAUAUCAUUAUUACUCGCUCCUUCCUACUUAUUUUUCAGUGAAGAGUUAAAUCUGUCAUGUUCUUGCACUAUUUAUUUUUAUUUUAGCACCAAAGAUAUUGUAUGGAGUUGCUAUUCCUCUAAAGCUUUGUUUUUUCAUCAUAUGAAUCUAUCCAUAUGAUGCGGAGUCCGGCUGCUCUGAGUUUGAUGAGUUCCCUUGUUUCUGCCCAUCUGAUGAUACCGAUGGCAACUGCGGUGCAAGCCGCUUUGAUGAAGAUUUCCUCUUCGACGAGAAUGACUGAACUUCAGGCACAAGAAGGGAACUGAUGCCCUUUUGGUUUAUUACCAAGCUUUGCUUAAGUGUCGUGCUUAGCUUUGGUGCCACUAUGAAAGUGUGCUGAAUUAGAUCUGCACCUGUCCAACCUUAGUGUAAAUUAUUUGUAAUCAGUACUCUCAACCAGUGUUCUAGAUGGAUGAUAGUAGGCAAUGUAUAUCUCCAUAAGACUACUACCCCUUGGCUAUCGCGCUGCUAGUCUAGUUGUUUAUGCAAACGGGCGCCUGAAGCUCCACACGCUAGGCCGACCCAUAUGACGUUUUUCUUUCAAUGUCUUUAACAUCCUAAAAGUUUGCAUGGCUAUUCUAGUAUCGUACCAGCGACCUCUCUCGUCGAGGUAGCAUUGUAUAACCACCACGCCACCCGCUAGGAUCUAGUAGUUUAAACAUCUUUAUUCUUUUAUUCCUACUUUUCCUUUUUUGUUUUUCCUUUUUGUUUUUUCCGUAACCACCCACGCCACC
rnacentral:lncRNA from 1 species